AUAUCAAUAAGCGGAGGAAAAGAAACCACCAGGGAUUGCCCCAGUAACGGCGAGUGAAGCGGCAACAGCUCAAAUUUGAAAUCUGGCCCCCCGGGGCCCGAGUUGUAAUUUGCAGAGGAUGCUUUUGGCGAGGCGCCUUCCGAGUUCCCUGGAACGGGACGCCACAGAGGGUGAGAGCCCCGUCUGGUUGGAUGCCGAGCCUCUGUAAAGCUCCUUCGACGAGUCGAGUAGUUUGGGAAUGCUGCUCUAAAUGGGAGGUAUAUGUCUUCUAAAGCUAAAUAUUGGCCAGAGACCGAUAGCGCACAAGUAGAGUGAUCGAAAGAUGAAAAGCACUUUGAAAAGAGGGUUAAAUAGUACGUGAAAUUGUUGAAAGGGAAGCGCUCAUGACCAGACUUGGGCCCGGUGAAUCAUCCAGCGUUCUCGCUGGUGCACUUUGCCGGGCUCAGGCCAGCAUCAGUUCGCCCCGGGGGAGAAAGGCUCUGGGAAUGUGGCUCCUCCGGGAGUGUUAUAGCCCUCUGCGCAAUGCCCUGGGGCGGACUGAGGUCCGCGCG
rnacentral:rRNA from 1 species